UGAUCCAACUAUCAUUUCUACAAAUCACCCAACUCUAAAAUGCCCCAAAACCACUAAAAUUACCAAAAUAUCCCCUCAACCUAAAAAGCUUAAACAGCUUUGUCUUUUGCUACUUAGGUCUAUGUUUUCAGACAAGGUCAAACAGUAAUGCUGAAAGUAUUAACAUUGUCUUUUGAACUUUUAGUCAAUUGGCUGACAAGACCAAAUUUACCUUACUCCAUUUAAUCUGAAACUUUUUGAGAUUCAUAUUAUCCAUAAGAGCUUUGCCCACCUGAAGAUCAUUGUAUCAAUUUGGAGAACUGAUAACUAUUGGCUUCCCACUUUUGAUUUAUCCAGCCAAAGCUCAAGUUUUGCCAGCU